rnacentral:rRNA from 1 species
UAUGCUCAACAGCUAGCCAGUCUUAACAAUCUCAAUACAUCCCUAUAUAUACCCCCUAAAACCCCCAACACUCCGAAACAAACCAUUUUUCCUCCCCAGUACGGGCGACAGAAACGGAACAUUCCUGAGCAAUAGAAAAAGUACCGCAAGGGAAAGCUGAAAGAGUAGUGAAACAACUCAGUAAAGCCAAAAAAAGCAGAGAUUAGCUCUCGUACCUUUUGCAUCAUGAUUUAGCUAGAACUCCAUUAAGCAAAAAGAAUUUUAGUUUAAACCCCCGAAACUAGGUGAGCUACUCCAAGACAGUCUAAAGUAGGACACCCCCGUCUCUGUGGCAAAAGAGUGGGAAGAGCUUCGAGUAGAGGUGACAGACCUACCGAACCUAGUUAUAGCUGGUUGCCUAAGAAUUGAAUAGAAGUUCAGCCUUUCUUCUUCUUUCCCCACACAAACCAAAUCUCACCACAGACCACAAAGAAGUUUUAAGAGUUAGUUAAAGGGGGUACAGCCCCUUUAAAACAAGACACAACUUUCCAAGGCGGGAAAAGAUCAUAGGCCCCAAAGGCAAUAUGUUUUAGUGGGCCUAAAAGCAGCCAUCUCAGCAGAAAGCGUUAAAGCUCAAACAUUCCAUUAACCUCAAAUUCCGACAACCCCAUCUUACCCCCCUAACACUAUUAGGCCUUUCCAUGCAUUCAUGGAAGUGAUAAUGCUAAAAUGAGUAAUAAGAGACCCCAGACUCUCUCCACGCACACCUGUACAUCGGAACGGACCCCCCACCGAAAAUUAAUCGGCCCCAAACAAAGAGGGAACUGGGCUCAAAAACAGACAACCAGAAAACUACCCAACUUCUAGCCGUUGACCCCACACUGGUGUGCCCCCCCGGAAAGACUUAAAGAAAAGGAAGGAACUCGGCAAACCCAAGCCUCGCCUGUUUACCAAAAACAUCGCCUCUUGCUUACUAAAAAUAAGAGGUCCCGCCUGCCCUGUGUCCAUGAGUUUAACGGCCGCGGUAUUUUGACCGUGCAAAGGUAGCGCAAUCACUUGUCUUUUAAAUGAAGACCCGUAUGAAUGGCAUAACGAGGGCUUAACUGUCUCCCUUUUCCAGUCAAUGAAAUUGAUCUCCCCGUGCAGAAGCGGGGAUCCCCACAUAAGACGAGAAGACCCUAUGGAGCUUUAGACAAAAGACAGCCCAUGUCAAACACCCCUAAACAAAGGACAAAACUAAUUGGCCCCUGUCCUAAUGUCUUUGGUUGGGGCGACCGCGGGGAAACAAAAAACCCCCAUGUGGACUGAAGGCACCCUUCUUCACAACCAAGAGCCACAGCUCUAAGUAACAGAACAUCUGACCAACAAGAUCCGGAAUAAUAACCGAUCAACGGACCGAGUUACCCUAGGGAUAACAGCGCAAUCUCCUUCUAGAGCCCAUAUCGACAAGGAGGUUUACGACCUCGAUGUUGGAUCAGGACAUCCUAAUGGUGCAGCCGCUAUUAAGGGUUCGUUUGUUCAACGAUUAAAGUCCUACGUGAUCUGAGUUCAGACCGGAGUAAUCCAGGUCAGUUUCUAUCUAUGAUAUGAUCUUUUCUAGUACGAAAGGACCGAAAAGAAGAGGUCCAUGCCUCAAGCAAACCUCUCCCCCACCUAAUGAAACCAACUAAAAUAAACAACGGGGCAUGCUCCCUAACUCAAGAGAAUAGUAU